GGGCGAAAACACGAGGAUGUAGAAAUAAUCAAGACAAAUAUAUUUUCUUUAAGUUGACAUUUAUUAACAAUAUGCAAAAACAAGAUUACCCAAUACAAGUUAAAUUGAAUACCUGAUCGUAUUGUUGCUCAUCUCUCGUAGAAAACCCAGGCAUAAGAGACACGUCGAACACAAGACACAUGACAGACAGUUUCUUGCAAUAGCCGUGAAUUCGAGGUUAUAAUUCAGAAUGGAAACGUUUGAUAAACCCAGUAAUAGGAUCGCGAUUGCUAGAUGCGGUGCACAGUGUUAUGUUUGUCGCAGAAUCAGCCAGUUGCGACUAGAAUUCCCCAGAUUCCUCCAUGUUACGUCCUACCCAAGUUACUAGCAGGACACUAGCGCUGUUUGGGUUAUUGAGCGCCAGAUUUUAAAAACGGGAUCCGUGAGCCGCUAAACCUCUGAUGAGGACUCCACCGAAUGUUGAUUGGUCCAGGUGAAGAUCAAUUGAAUUAAUGAAUAAUUCAAUAAUAAAUGAUGACACAAGUGCUUAAGGGAGCACAUUAACACGUUUAUUAUUAAGAUCAAAUUUGAGGAAAAGAUUUUUACACUAGAACAUAUAAUCCGUAAAUUUUAAUUGAACUAAUGGAGAGAAGCUUCUAGCAGAAGGCUUGAAAAAGAACUGACUUAUCUUAGUCUUAAACUCUAAGGGUUGGGUCCAGUAAUCCCCACUAGUCCAAAAGUGGCGCACGCAACCCUGGCCCAAGGGGCAUAUUAAAUCAUAAGAGAAAGAGGGAAACAAGGAGAGCGCGUGAUGUCACAGUUUUCCACAGAGAAUGGGGAACUUGCAUGCGUCCCAGAUUUGAGAAAUAAAUGUAUUAAUAAAUAGUUUAACACCUAUGGAAUACUCUCCAAUGACAAAUGCAUUCUAACUCAUUGCAGUUUUUUUUUAACAAUCAAUCGAAAAUGGGGAACUUGCAUGAUUUUUUUUAAUUUUUUUUUUACAUAGUUAAUGGUCCUAAUAAUAGAUUUUUCAUGAAAAAACAUUUAAAAAAUCGUUUAACAAUUAAUUAUCGAUUGUUCAAAAAGUGAAAUUUUCAAAUGCUCCAAAAGUUGUCAUGACGUCAUCAGGCGGGUCCUAUACUUCCGCAUGUGGCGUCAUCUACCGGAUCAUAGAUUCCUACCGUCGGUAUAUCAAAUUUACCUAACCCUACCUGAUUAAACCUAUUUAAACUGAUUUAACCUUAACUGAUUAAAACACUCACAAAUACUCCAAAAAUGUCAAAUGACAGUCAAAAAGUUGAAAAACAACCAUACAAAUAUUGUUUUGUACCAUCGUGUGCGAACUCAACUGUAUCAACACCGAAUAAAGUGUUUAUAACAGUUCCUGCGUGCAAAAAUAUUCGAAAAUUGUGGUGUGAAGCCGCAGGUUAUUUUCGCCCAUUACUGGGCAGAAGUGACAUUUAACAAUGUAACCUCUACUGUUUGUUGACACCGGCUGACGUUUAGAAAAAUAUUAGUGCUGUCAUCUAGCGGCUGCAAUAAGAAACCGGCGUCACCGCCUGAUGACGUCACGAGCGUUAAAAAGUGGUUCAAAAUUAUGCAAUUUUCGAUUGAUUGUUAAAAAAAAACUGCAAUGAGUUAGAAUGCAUUUUUCAUUGGAGAGUAUUCCAUAGGCGUUAAACUAUUUAUUAAUACAUUUAUUUCUCAAAUCUGGGCCGCAUGCAAGUUCCCCAUUGCAUAAUUUUGAACCACUUUUUAACGUUCGUGACGUCAUCAGGCGGUGACUCCGGGUUCUUAUUGCAGCCACUAGAUGACAGCACUGAUAUUUUUCUAAAUGUAAGCCGGUGUCAACAAACAGUAGAGGUUAUAUUGUUAAAUGUCACUUCUGCCCAGUAAUGGGUGAGAAUAACCUGCGGCUCCACACCACAAUUUUCGAAUAAUUUUGCACGCAGGAACUGUUAUAAACACUUAAUUCGGUGUUGACACAGUUGAGUUCGCACACGAUGUUUAAAUAGGUUUAAUCAGUUAGGGUUCGGUACAUUUGAUAUACCGACGGUAGGAAUCUAUGAUCCGGUAGAUGGCGCCACAGCUGGAAGUAUAGGACCCGCCUGAUGACGUCAUGACAACUUUUGGAGCAUUUGAAAAUUUCACUUUUUGAACAAUCGAUAAUUAAUUGUUAAACGAUUUUUUAAAUGUUUUUUCAUGAAAAAUCUAUUAUUAGGACCAUUAACUAUGUAAAAAAAAAAUAAAAAAAAAUCAUGCAAGUUCCCCAUUCCCGGAUUCUCUGUUCAGCAGGACAAUGAUAAGGAAAUCAUAAGAGAAAGAGGGAAACAAGGAGAGCGCGUGAUGUCGCAGUUUUCCACAGAGAAUUCCCGGAUUCUCUGUUCAACAGGACAAUGGACAAAGGAAAGCUCACAUGUGUUAAACACAUGAGACAGAGAAAUGUUUGAAGUAAACAGUACUCGAGUUUUAUGACUUUAGACCGUGACUUUUGAAUUUACUUUGUCUUUAUAUUUUAUGUUUCGAGGAACUGCCUUUCUGCAGUCCGUUUGGGAGAGUAAUAAAUUUGGAUUAGAACUCGAAUACUUGACACUUGAUUCUACGUUUUUGUUGAAUGGUUUUCUCACGCCCGUAAAUUUAUUUCUCCCUUGUUCAUUGUCCCGCUGUUUAUUUUUUGGCAUUCCUUCUGACUUUCUAAAAUUCCAUAUGGCGUUGAUUUAUCAUUUUGCUCUUCAUAAUAUUUUCAAAAUUCGCGGAUCAAAAUGGCCGAUAAAUAGUGCCAUCUAUAAUAUUCAAGCCCAGGACAUCACAUCCAUUCUUCUCUAGAUUUAAGUGCGUAAGAUUCAAAUUAAACAUUAUUCGAAUAAUAAACAAUUAAAUGUCAAUAGUUAAGACGAAUGCUCACAUAAAAUGAUAAUAAAUAAAAUAUUAGACAUGUGUGACAGGAGAGAAAAAUAGAAAGAGGAAAUUCCAGCAAUAUGGGGAAAAAGCAUUAAUUUAAGAGAAAUUCCAGAAUAGCACGACUAAUGGUAAUCCUAUACUGUAAAAUUCUUAGGGAACAACUUUCCCAUUUUUUUAUAUACAUUCGUAAAACUUAAUGGUCAAUGGAAACCCUUCAAACUCUACAAGUCGUAAAAGGCUUUCCUGGAAAAAGCCCUCGGUAGAAUCAUAAAAGCUGGUCUCUCUCUCUCUUUCUCUCUCAGUUUUUGCACACAUGUGCUGCUCUUUGUUCCUGGCCCAAAGAGAGGGGUUGUGUUGAAAAUCUACAAGUGGGGAUGAAAAGCCCAACCCCCCUGACUAAAACGCUGUGGCUGAUUGGCCCCCCAGUUUUUCUCUCUAUGAUAUGUUGUAGAAUAAGCUAGGCUAAGAUUGUUCUAAGACUUGUAAGAACGUCAGUAGAGCUAAUUUUGUAUUACAAAAAGCAUCGACUAAAGAUUUUUCUUUGAGA